CAGCCGCCACGGGAAUACAGAGGGUGCGAGCGUUAAUCGGAUUUACUGGGCGUAAAGCGUGCGUAGGCGGCUUCUUAAGUCGGAUGUGAAAUCCCUGAGCUUAACUUAGGAAUUGCAUUCGAUACUGGGAAGCUAGAGUAUGGGAGAGGAUGGUAGAAUUCCAGGUGUAGCGGUGAAAUGCGUAGAGAUCUGGAGGAAUACCGAUGGCGAAGGCAGCCAUCUGGCCUAAUACUGACGCUGAGGUACGAAAGCAUGGGGAGCAAACAGGAUUAGAUACCCCCGUAGUCCCUGUCUCUUAUAC
rnacentral:rRNA from 1 species